CUCUGCUCAAAAUACCUUGAGUGGUUCCUGUUUCCUGUGCUAAACUCUGGCUGAUACGACUGUUGUUAUCCUUAUUUUACAGAUGGGGAAACCGAGGCACAGAAAAGCAAAGUGAUCUUCCCAGAGCCACACAGCCAGUGGGUGGUAGGGCCAGGCUCCAAACCCAGGUCUUUCUGAGCCCCGAGCCCACUGCACCAUCUUGCCUGCACAUACUUGAAUGCUACCACAUACCACAUCUUUGACUGCAUACCAGAGGUGGAAUCUGCAGAUACUCAAAGUCCCUGCCUCAUGGAGCUUACAUUCCAGGACCCAAUCCAGGAUAUCACAUGCAUUGUUUUUAACUAUAGCUACCUCCCUGGGGUUUUGUGUGGAUUGGAUGAUAAACUGCAGGUAGAAGGGCUACGUAAACCAUGAACUAUGUAAGUGUUAUCAGCAGUUAUUUUUCAUUGUUGUUCUGGUUAAUGAUGAAACAUACUGACGCUUCCCUCACUGCACUGCUCGGUGUGAGUAGAUUCCAAUUUCAUUAUUAAAAUGACUAAAACCGUAUGCUGGGCACUUUAAUCCUCACAACAAUUAUAUUAUGCUUCUGUUAUGAGACUCAGAGUUGAUAUACCUUUAGGCUUUCUAGGCCCUUCCAAGGUAGAGUUAGGUACCCUUUCAUGUGCUGUCUCAUCACAGCACUUACUGUGCAGUCUUCCCCACUAGACUAGAAGCUGUGGGUUCCAGGAACUGGAUUUUGUUCACUGUUAUUCCCUCUAUCCAGCAAAUAGUCAGGCACAUAGAUGAUACUCAAAAAAAACACUGCUUAGAUGAAUGAAUAAAUUAAGGCUGAUUUUUUUUUUUGCAGUUUUGAGUGUUUUAUUUAUGCCAAAUUGGAUAAAAUAUGUGUAUUUCUCAGACAGAAAAGACAUGUCGAGGUAGAAAUGUACCUUUCAACUAUUCAUGGGUACACAAGUACACUGGGGAGAUUGUAAAAGUGCAGAUUGUGAUUCAGUAGGUCCGGUGGGCCUGAGUUCUAUUUUUAUUUUUGGGGGGGGGGUGAGUAAUUUUUAUUUAAAAUUUUUAUUUCCUUGUAUCUUUUUUUUUUUUUUACUUCUUUAUUAGACUAUAGUUGCUUUACAAUGGUUAGUUUCUGCUUUAUAACAAAGUGAAUCAGUUAUACAUAUACAUAUGUUCCCAUAUCUCUUCCCUCUUGCAUCUCCCUCCCUCCCACCCUCCCUAUCCCACCCCUCCAGGCGGUCACAAAGCACCGAGCUGAUCUCCCUGUGCUAUGCGGCUGCUUCCCACUAACUAUCUACCUUACGUUUGGUAGUGUAUAUAUGUCCAUGCCUCUCUCUCACUUUGUCACAGCUUACCCUUCCCCCUCCCCAUAUCCUCAAGUCCAUUCUCUAGUAGGUCUGUGUCUUUAUUCCUG